rnacentral:lncRNA from 1 species
GUUUUCUCUGCUUUCAAAUCUUUCUGUUUGAACCCGUCGACCUGGAACUUAUCAGUUAUUGGAAAUAUUAAUUAUUUGGAAAACAAAAGGUCCUGGCUAUCCAGGAAUGGAGUAUUUUUUUUAAUCAACAGCAUUGUCCUAUAUUAGUUAUCUUAGAAAGUCUUGCUGAUUGCUGAAUAAAACUAUAAUAGGGAACAAUUUGACAAUGAUUGAAUUUAGUAGUGUCAGUCCUUUGAUUAUGACCCGUGUAUAUAGCAAAAUCCUAAAUACACCGUUUGGUGGUGCGCCUGUCAAAUGCGGAACGUACAGAUAAGGUAAUAGCUGAAUAUACUAUUUGUAUCGGUAUCGGAUUCGACCCGGAACUUGUUAAUUAUUGGCAAUAUUAAUUAUGCUGAAAACAAAAGGGUCUGGAGUGGUGUAAUUUUUAAUCUACACCAUUGUCCUAUAUUCGUUAUAUAUAGAGUUGAAUUCUUUGAUUUCUCGUUUUUACCCGAUGACGGCUGACAAAUUGGACCUCGUAAUUUUAGUAUUAUAGAU